GACGAACGCUGGCGGCGUGCUUAACACAUGCGAGUCGAACGGAAAGGCCCUGCUUUUGUGGGGUGCUCGAGUGGCGAACGGGUGAGUAACACGUGAGUAACCUGCCCUUGACUUUGGGAUAACUUCAGGAAACUGGGGCUAAUACCGGAUAGGAGCUCCUGCUGCAUGGGGGGGGUUGGAAAGUUUCGGCGGUUGGGGAUGGACUCGCGGCUUAUCAGCUUGUUGGUGGGGUAGUGGCUUACCAAGGCUUUGACGGGUAGCCGGCCUGGGAGGGUGACCGGCCACAUUGGGACUGCGAUACGGCCCAGACUCCUACGGGAGGCAGCAGUGGGGAAUAUUGCACAAUGGGCGGAAGCCUGAUGCAGCAACGCCGCGUGCGGGAUGACGGCCUUCGGGUUGUAAACCGCUUUCGCCUGUGACGAAGCGUGAGUGACGGUAAUGGGUAAAGAAGCACCGGCUAACUACGUG
rnacentral:rRNA from 1 species